CAUUUAAGAUGAUCAUUUCCCAAACCUGAAUUUCUGUUGAAAAAGCCCUAGAGGAAUAUGGCUUCUGAGGGAU